rnacentral:rRNA from 1 species
CGGGGUGCACCAGGCGCGAAAACUCUACAAUGCAGGCAACUGCGAUAGGGGAACAUCGAGUGAUCCUCAUAUUGGGGGUCUGUCCACCCGUCUAAAAAACGGGUGUUAGCAAGGGCCGGGCAAGACCGGUGCCAGCCGCCGCGGUAAUACCGGCGGCUCGAGUGGUGGCCGAUAUUAUUGAGUCUAAAGGGUCCGUAGCCGGCUUUGCAAGUCUCUCGGGAAAUCCAGCGGCUUAACCGUUGGUCGUCCGGGGGGUACUACAUUGCUUGGGACUGGGAGAGGUAGGAGGUACUCAGGGGGUAGGAGUGAAAUCCUGUAAUCCUUUGGGGACCACCGGUGGCGAAGGCGUCUUACCAGAACAGGUCCGACGGUGAGGGACGAAAGCUAGGGGCACGAACCGGAUUAGAUACCCGGGUAGUCCUAGCCGUAAACGAUGCUCGCUAGGUGUCACAACAGUCGUGAACUGUUGUGGUGCCGUAGGGAAGCCGUGAAGCGAGCCACUUGGGAAGUACGACCGCAAGGUUGAAACUUAAAGGAAUUGGCGGGGGAGCACAAGGGCGAAUCGCGG